GCAGCAGGUGAUGCCCCAUUUCUGAUGAGUAGCUAUUUUAGAUCUAGGCCGGGAGAGCUGGAGGCAGUAGUUUGCUGCCUGACAUUAUGGAAGGAACAUUGCCUGGUGGAGCUGUUGUGACUGCAACAACUAGAAGCAAGGUGUUGCAGGAGAGAGGUGGGUGUUGUGCCCAGAGGCAGUCGGAGACAAGCACUGUGGCUGGUUGGGGACUUCCUACACCACCACACACAAUUUACGUAAGAUGUGAAAAAUAUCCGUCUCGUAUGAGAUGUCUUCCAGCUGUUUGUCUCCUGAGAAUGGUCCCCUUGAUAAAGGUUUUUUUUUUUUUUUUCUUUGAAAGGUAAACUACAAUUUGUUGGGAUU